rnacentral:tRNA from 2 species
GCCGGAGUGGCGAAAUGGCAGACGCGACGGACUCAAAAUCCGUUGUCCGCAAGGACGUGUGGGUUCAAGUCCCUCCUCCGGUA